rfam:Tinamus guttatus contig86602, whole genome shotgun sequence.
AGGACUAUACUUUCAGGGAUCAUUUCUGUAGUUGGUAACUAGAGGAGUGUGAUCGAAAGUGUCCGGUCUCGCAAGCCACGAGGAGGAGGCGCGGUGCUCUCUCCUGAGCGCGAAGCGGGUGGCGGUGCUGCCUUGGCAGCGGCCGUGACCAUUGAUGACCGUUCCUGCUUCCCUUGGGGAGCAGGAGGGAGAGAGCACGGGCUGAGUGGU